rnacentral:rRNA from 1 species
GUAGUUAGCCGGUGCUUCUUCUGCGAGUAACGUCACAGAUGUAAGGUAUUAACUUACACCCUUUCCUCCUCGCUGAAAGUGCUUUACAACCCGAAGGCCUUCUUCACACACGCGGCAUGGCUGCAUCAGGGUUUCCCCCAUUGUGCAAUAUUCCCCACUGCUGCCUCCCGUAGGAGUCUGGGCCGUGUCUCAGUCCCAGUGUGGCUGAUCAUCCUCUCAGACCAGCUAGGGAUCGUCGCCUAGGUGAGCCUUUACCUCACCUACUAGCUAAUCCCACCUGGGCUUAUCCAUCAGCGCAAGGCCCGAAGGUCCCCUGCUUUCCCCCGUAGGGCGUAUGCGGUAUUAGCAGUCGUUUCCAACUGUUAUCCCCCACAAAUGGGCAAAUUCCCAGGCAUUACUCACCCGUCCGCCGCUCGUCAUCUUCAAAAGCAAGCUUUUGAAAUGUUACCGCUCGACUUGCAUGUGUUAGGCCUGCCGCCAGCGUUCAAUCUGAGCCAUAAUCAAACUCUGA